CUACGGGACGCACCAGUGGGGAAUAUUGGACAAUGGGGGGAACCCUGAUGCAGCAACGCCGCGUGGAGGAUGACGCAUUUCGGUGUGUAAACUCCUUUUAUAUGUCAAGAAAAUGACGGUAGCAUAUGAAUAAGCACCGGCUAACUCCGUGCCAGCAGCCGCGGUAAUACGGAGGGUGCAAGCGUUACUCGGAAUCACUGGGCGUAAAGGACGCGUAGGCGGGUUGGAAAGUCAGGUGUGAAAUCCUACAGCUUAACUGUAGAACUGCACUUGAAACUUCUAAUCUAGAGUAUGGGAGGGGGAGAUGGAAUUAGUGGUGUAGGGGUGAAAUCCGUAAAUAUCACUAGGAAUACCUAAAGCGAAGGCGAUCUCCUGGAACAUUACUGACGCUAAGGCGUGAAAGCGUGGGGAGCAAACAGGAUUAGAUACCCGCGUAGUC
rnacentral:rRNA from 1 species